rnacentral:tRNA from 1 species
CAGAGGGUGGUCUAAUCUAUGAUCUUGGCUUUGGGAGCCAAGGAUGGGAGUUAGACCCUCCCUUCUCUGA